GCAACUCCAUCUCCAAGUAUAGGUCAUUAAGCAUGCCUGGAUGCAUUUGGAUGAUGAUCUCAGUUUGAGGGAGUUAUUGGUCUCAUCGAUGACAUACGCAAGCGGGGUAAAACUUGAGUCACCUAUGAAAUGAUUUUUACCAUUUGUCAGAGCAGAGGUUUUUCUGGGGUUGAGCCUGUUUGGCUGUUUAUGAGCAGGCAACACUAUGGUCGAUCAAGCCCUUGCAAGAUAGUAAUGCAUUUUUGCAUUCUGGGGUUACAAUGGCGAGUACUAAACAAGAUGACCAUGCUCCAGGAAUAGGAACGUUUCCCGCAAAAAAAAGGAAUAGGACUGUACUCCUCCCAAAAGACAAAAGCAAGACAAUGCAGACAAUAAAAAUCCAGCACCAACAAUGAAUAGCCGGAGUAAACAAAACAAGCAGACCAAAUCAUGACGGCCCUUGAGGAAGGGUUGCAGUGUCGAGGAGCAGCAGGCAUGUAAAUCUGACUGCAAUUCGUUUUCUUAAGGCUAGAACACUACAGUGAUUGAUUAUGCACCUGAAGGAUUGAUGAAGCUGCUUGGACUGAAUUUCUCUUUAAAAUACAUGGUGAUUGUUUGGGAUGAUUGGGCAAAAAUAGUUGGGAAUUGGUUUUUUAUUAC